rnacentral:misc_RNA from 1 species
UUCUACUUUGUUUUUGUUAGCACAGGGACCUCUCUCUACUCUUUCUUCCACCUAUACAUUCCCACCCACCACCCACCAAGCUUCAUAAUACGUCGCCGGAAAAUCUGAUAAGAACCAGAGCUCCGCUGCCUGAUAAUUCCUCUUGCCGCCAUUGAAGCAAGACACCACUUAUUCUACUUUGUUUUUGUUAGCACUUGAUAAAUUCUACCAUGCAAUCUUCAAGCGGUUCGAUGAAGGUCUCGCCGUUCGAUCUCAUGUCGGCGAUUAUCAAAGGGAAAAUGGACCCUUCCAAUGUAUCGUCAGAAUCAGGUGCUGAGGUGGCAACCUUGUUCCUUGAGAACCGGGAGUUUAUUAUGAUUUUAACGACGUCUAUCGCGGUUUUGAUUGGGUGUGUUGUGGUGUUGGUGUGGAGAAGAUCCUGCGGUCAGAAAUCUAAGUCCUCUGCCUUUGAACCUCCUAAGCCGUUGAUUGUUAAGGAGCUAGAGCCUGAGCCGGAUGACGGCCAUAAAAAGGUUACCAUCCUUUUCGGUACUCAGACUGGUACAGCUGAAGGAUUCGCUAAGGCUUUGGCCGAAGAGGGAAAAGCGCGGUAUGAAAAGGCCACAUUUAAAAUUAUUGAUUUGGAUGAUUAUGCGGCUGAUGAUGAUGAGUACGAAGAGAAACUCAAGAAAGAGUCUUUGGUUUUGUUCUUUGUGGCUACAUACGGAGAUGGUGAGCCAACAGAUAAUGCUGCGAGGUUCUAUAAAUGGUUUACAGAGGGUAAUGAGAGAGGGGAAUGGCUUCAGAACCUUAAGUUUGGGGUGUUUGGCCUUGGCAACAAGCAAUAUGAACAUUUUAAUAAGAUUGCUAAAGUGUUGGAUGAGACCCUUGAACAGCAGGGUGCAAAGCGUCUUGUUCCUUUGGGUCUUGGAGAUGAUGAUCAAUGCAUAGAAGAUGACUUCACUGCUUGGAGAGAAUCAGUGUGGCCUGAGUUGGAUCAGCUGCUCCGGGAUGAGCAUGAUGCAACAGCUGUUUCUACUCCCUAUACAGCUGCUGUGUUGGAAUAUCGGGUUGCAUUUUAUGAUCCUGAAAAUGCACCUUUAGAGGAUAAGAACUGGAGUAAUGCAAAUGGACAUGCUAUCCAUGAUGCUCAACAUCCAUGCAGGUCUAAUGUUGCUGUGAGAAAAGAGCUUCAUACACCUGCAUCUGAUCGUUCUUGCACCCAUUUGGAGUUUGACAUAGCUAGCACUGGACUCACAUAUGAAACUGGUGAUCAUGUCGGCGUAUACUGUGAAAAUCUUGAUGAAGUUGUGGAGGAGGCACUGCAAUUGUUGAAUUUGUCACCAGAUACUUAUUUCUCUAUCCAUUCUGACAAAGAGGACGGCACUCCACUUAGUGGAAGCUCCUUGCUGCCUCCUUUCCCACCAUGCUCCUUACGAACAGCUCUCACUCGAUAUGCUGAUCUUUUGAGUUCACCCAAAAAGGUUAGGCGUUUUCUUGAGUCUAGUGAAUCUGUGUUGCAUAUUUGUCUUUUUUACUUAAAAUUAUUCUUACCAUGAUUUGUUAAAUUAUAUAUUAUUUUAUUUAUUUUUAUGUUCUGAUUAAUUGAUUGUUCCAAUUCUUCUGGUUUUCAGUCUGCUUUACUCGCUUUAGCAGCUCAUGCCACUCAUCCAACUGACGCUGAUAGACUAACGCAUCUUGCUUCCCCUGCUGGAAAGGAUGAAUAUGCACAAUGGAUAGUUGCCAAUCAGAAAAGCCUCCUUGAGGUUAUGGCUGAAUUUCAAUCAGCCAGGCCCCCACUUGGUGUCUUCUUUGCUGCAGUCGCUCCUCGCUUGCAGCCUAGAUAUUAUUCUAUCUCAUCAUCCCCAAGGUGAAUAUUUUAUUACUCCUCUUUCGGGAAAAUUUUAGCAUUAGUGCUGGAGUGUUUUUUACUUGAGAAUAAUCUGAUAUAAUGGAAAUACGUACUAGGAUUCAAUGCACUUAAGGCAUAUCUGCAUUAAGACCAAACCAUUACCUCCAUUUAUUAUUCAAGCUAUAAGAGCUUGGAUGUUUUAUUGGGGAGCCCUUCAGGGGAAUCUUGUUAGACGGGAAUUUACUGUAGUGAGGCUCAUCUAUUGGGUGGAAAAAGAAAAUUGUCACCGCUUCAUUUGCUACCGAGGAACCUUUUGAGGGAGAAUGAUAUCAUAUUUGCUUUGGCAUUCUCUAUUUAUGCUUUAAUGUAUUUUCUUAUCUAGAACAUUGCGUGUUUACCAUUUGAAAUUAUGCUCUGCAGGAUGGCACCAUCUAGAAUUCAUGUUACUUGUGCACUGGUUCUUGAGAAAACACCAGGGGGACGGCUACAUAAAGGAGUGUGCUCAACUUGGAUGAAGGUAUGUUUUUGAUUUCUUUGCUUUGCUAUUUGUUUCUCCUUUCUGGGUGGCCUUGCCACACCUAGUUGGAGCUAAGUGGUUGAAGUAUUAUUCUUAGGGAUUUAGUUACUGCCAACUCUAGAAAAAUGACAAGCCCUCUUUCCUGCAUUCUUUUAUGUGUAUGCUUGUUUGUGUAAAAGAAUUGCUUAGUCUACAUGCUGCAUAAGUUACAUUCUCCAACUAUUGGGUAAGCACUAUCCGUGGGCAUGUGUACUGUUGUAAUUAUAUUGCUUUAUUCCUUGACUUCUAUUCUAUUCUUUGAUGUAUUUUUUGUCUCACAAAUGUAUUUCAGUUUCAGAAUUUUAUUUAAUAUUUUGUACCUCAAAUUAUUUCCUCUAGGAAUUAAAUGUCUUAACCCAUCAUCCUGCAGAAUUCUGUGCCUUUGGAGAAAAGCCAUGAGUGCAGUUGGGCACCCAUUUUUGUCCGGCAAUCAAACUUUAAGCUUCCUAAAGACACCCAAGUACCCAUCAUUAUGAUUGGCCCUGGGACUGGUUUGGCUCCUUUCAGGGGCUUUUUGCAGGUUCAACUUGCAGACUUCAGUCAUCUGUUUGUCAUGCUUAUGUGUGUGGACAUAUCUAAGCCAAUCAUCUGUGAUUUUUGUAUUUCCUUCUGCAGGAAAGGUUAGCCCUGAAAGAAGCUGGAGCAGAAUUGGGAUCCUCUAUAUUAUUCUUUGGUUGCAGGAACAGUAAGAUGGAUUACAUCUAUAAAGAUGAGCUCAACAACUUUGUUGAAAGUGGUGCACUUUCUGAGUUGAUUGUUGCUUUUUCACGUGAGGGACCUACCAAGCAAUAUGUGCAGCAUAAAAUGUUGGAGAAGGCUUCAGAAAUCUGGAACAUAAUUUCUCAGGGAGGAUAUAUAUAUGUUUGCGGUGAUGCCAAAGGCAUGGCUAGAGAUGUCCACAGAACGCUUCACACCAUUGUGCAAGAGCAGGUAUGCUAACAAUUGGAGUUUUGGUACUAUAAUAGCUGCUUUUCACAUGUUGACAGUUGAGUUACCACCUACCUGUUUUAAUGAAAAUGUGCUUAAAAGUUAGCCACAUAUUACAUUUUGCAGAUGAAAGUAUGUAAAAAGAGGUCAAAAUUUUAAAAAAUGGAAAUGCCAACAGGGAACCACCAGUAGGCGGGCCUGAUACUCCGCUCUAUUUUAAUUAUUGAGAUUUUCUUUUGGCAUUAUUUUCUGGUUCUUUUGCACGAUCGAAUAUCCCACAUUCCGAAUCUUUAUUAUUUUUAAUGGAAAGCUGUCUCUUUCAUGGCUGUCCCCAACACUUUGGAUCCUUGUCAUUGAUCAAGGGUUCUUGUUUGUUGUUUCAGGGAUCUCUCGAUAGUUCGAAAGCUGAGAGCAUGGUGAAGAAUCUACAAACGACCGGCAGGUAUCUGCGUGAUGUAUGGUGAUGAAACUUCCAAGACUGAGCCUCAGGGUAAGGCAGAUAAUAUUGAAACAUACCAGCUACAAUAUACAUAGUGAAGGCUGGUUGGGAUGAAGGAAAUUUAUGAGAUAGCUGCCUUUGAAAAGCACAAGCAAACAAGUUGCAACAAUUCACUUGUGAUUCUUUUUAUGGUUCCUAUAUCAAGGAAUUCUUUUCUUUUAAUGUAAUUUAUGUAUACAAAAGUAUAAUAAUUUUUGAGCAUGCUUACCUUAUCAGUUGUAAUUUUCUUGGAUGAACCAACAAUGGUUCAAAUGAGAGAACUUAUAUGUAAUUUGUUUGAAUGGAUAAUUAUGACUUUCAAGUGAUAUAUAAC